GGAAACCCAUGCUCAACAGUAAUAAAUAAAAAUAAUCUGUUUUGCAGACAAGCGAUUCUUAUGUGCUCAGAAGAGGAACCUCAUCUUAGAAGGAUUGACAUACUUUGAAAAGAUGGCCUUUAGAAGCAAGGUGAAGCUACAGUCAAUUGUGAGACAUGGUCUGCAGGAGGAAAAACUGAUGUGUGAGUAAGUCCAGUUGUGCUAAGAAUUUUUUUGCUUCCUGUUCUACAUUCCAUCCUUCUCUGCUCUAGGAGGCUGACCUCUAUAGACUGCAUCAAGGUUAACCCUUCCUCACCAUCUGAGAAAUGGUCCAGCCAUGCAAGGUCCUGGCAGAAGACAGUGAGGGUAAGAAGAUCAGCUUUGGGCUGGGAAUUGCCCUGGACUUUCGCCUGCUGACCCUGGAAGACUACAGUUUGUUUCCUUUGGCUUCAGUUCUCUCUGACUUGCAUCCUCUCUUUCCCAAGUAACCCCUCAAAUCCAGUAACCUCCUUGCACCUGCUGAUUUUAGCAUGGUUACUCAGUCUGAGUUUCCCUAAACGAAGAGACUGGUGACGACUUGAGUGCACAGUUUAUUUGGAAACUUUUCUCAGAGCACAGGAAUGAGAGGCAGGGGGAUUGGCAAGGAAGUAAAAGCUUUAACAUGGAUGAGUUAUUGAACUGGCCACAGCUCUCAUUAAGUGGCACUCAAUCCUUCAGUCCUCUGAGAAAUCUUCUGGAAUGCAUUGCAGAACAGCCUGCUGGGGAAGAUAUAGGCGCCUGGGCAUCCAGCUACUCAACUAAUUGUUGACCUGGAGCAAGAGAAGGAGCCUCCUGGAGCCUCAGUCUUCUUCCCAGGAGCUGGGGAGAAAUGCCUCCUCAGGGCAUGAUUGUGAAGCUUGAACAAAUGGCAGCUUACAGCCUCUAUGCAGAGUGGCAGGUUUCAGUAAAAGUGAGUUCUUUACAACUAGCACCACCUGGGAGGUCCAGGGAAGCCCUGAAGAGACUCAAAAGAAUACCAAAGGUAAUUUUACUCUCUUCACCUUCUCAAGCACAUGGAAGUCUGCAGAUCCAGGCUUUGCUCAUCUUCCCCUCCUUGAGCAACUCUCAC
rnacentral:lncRNA from 1 species